rnacentral:rRNA from 1 species
GCCAAAAACAUUGCCCCCCCCCCCCCCACUAAUGAACUUCCACAUCCAAUCUUUUAAAUUAAAACAUUUUCUAGACUUAGUAGAGGCGAUUGAAAAAUUAUUAGGAGCAUGAAAAGUACCGCAAGGGAAAAUUGAAAUAAAAAUGAAAUAAUUAUCAAGCACAAAAUAGUAGAGACCAACCCUCGUACCUUUUGCAUCAUGAUUUAACAAGUCUAAUCAAGCACAAUGAUUUACAGUUUGACUUCCCGAAACUAAGUGAGCUACUUCAGGGCAGCUUACUGAGCAAACCCGUCUCUGUUGCAAAAGAGUGGGAAGACCUUCAAGUAGAGGUGACAAGCCUAACGAACCUAGUGAUAGCUGGUUACUCAAGAAAAAGAUUUUAGUCCCACCUAAAGUUUCAAUAAUCUACAAAAAUGAUACUUAAACUUUAGAGGAAUUCAAAUAGGGUACAGCCUGUUGAAAAAGGAUACAACC